rfam:Rattus norvegicus chromosome 3, whole genome shotgun sequence.
GGAAUUUAGCUCAGUGGUAGAGCGCUUGCCUAGCAAGCGCAAGGCCCUGGGUUCGGUUCCCAGCUCCG